rnacentral:rRNA from 1 species
AUUGAACGCUGGCGGCAUGCUUUACACAUGCGAGUCGAACGGCAGCGCGGGCUUCGGCCUGGCGGCGAGUGGCGAACGGGUGAGUAAUGCAUCGGAACGUGCCCAGUAGUGGGGGAUAGCCCGGCGAAAGCCGGAUUAAUACCGCAUACGACCUGAGGGUGAAAGCGGGGGACCGAAAGGCCUCGCGCUAUUGGAGCGGCCGAUGUCGGAUUAGCUAGUUGGUGGGGUAAAGGCUUACCAAGGCGACGAUCCGUAGCUGGUCUGAGAGGACGACCAGCCACACUGGGACUGAGACACGGCCCAGACUCCUACGGGAGGCAGCAGUGGGGAAUGUUGGACAAUGGGGGCAACCCUGAUCCAGCCAUGCCGCGUGCGGGAAGAAGGCCUUCGGGUUGGAAACCGCUUUUGUUCGGGAAGAAAUCCUCUGGGCUAAUACCCCGGGGGGAUGACGGUACCGGAAGAAUAAGCACCGGCUAACUACGUG